AUUGAACGCUGGCGGCAGGCCUAACACAUGCAAGUCGAACGAGUGGCGGACGGGUGAGUAAUGUCUGGGAAACUGCCUGAUGGAGGGGGAUAACUACUGGAAACGGUAGCUAAUACCGCAUACCAUCGGAUGUGCCCAGAUGGGAUUAGCUAGUAGGUGGGGUAAAGGCUCACCUAGGCGACGAUCCCUAGCUGGUCUGAGAGGAUGACCCGCCACACUGGAACAGACACACGGGCCAGACUCCUACGGGAGGGAGCAUGGGGGAAUAUUGCACAAUGGGCGCAAGCCUGAUGCAGCCAUGCCGCGUUUAAUAAUAAGGCCUUCGGGUUGGAAAGUACUUUCAGCGGGGAGGCUUUACCCGCAGGAAAAGCACCGGGUAACUCCGUGCCAGCAGCCGCGGUAACUC
rnacentral:rRNA from 1 species